CUCGGUGACGAUAGUGCAGGGGAAACACCCGAUCCCAUUCCGAACUCGGUAGUUAAGCCCUGUUGCGCCGAUGGUACUGCCUUGGAGACGAGGUGGGAGAGUAGGAAGUCGCCGGGG
rnacentral:rRNA from 2 species